rnacentral:lncRNA from 1 species
CUUCAUCGAUCAUCUUGAAGAUCUUGUCUGCUUUUUAUAUAGCAUUGGCAUCAAUAUACUUCACAAGUACGGUUCCCCUGACUAUUCACCGAGAAAUUAAUUAUUGUCUUCCUCUUGUCGUUCCACCCAUCCGUCAUUAUUGUGCAACCUGUUUUCUUCCAUGUAGCUCUGUGGACUCUCAAUUACUUGUUUUUUGACUCUAGAAAUAAC